CAAUAGCGUAUAUUAAAGUUGUUGCGGUUAAAAAGCUCGUAGUUGGAUUUCUGCUGAGGACGACCGGUCCGCCCUCUGGGUGAGUAUCUGGCUUGGCCUUGGCAUCUUCUUGGAGAACGUAGCUGCACUUGACUGUGUGGUGCGGUAUCCAGGACUUUUACUUUUGAGGAAAUUAGAGUGUUUCAAGCAGGCUCACGCCUUGAAUACAUUAGCAUGGAAUAAUAAGAUAAGACCUUGGUUAUUUUUGGUUUCUAGAUCCGAGGUAAUGGUUAAUAGGGAUAGUUGGGGGCAUUCGGUAUUUAAUCUGUCAGAGGUGAAAUUCUUGGAUUCGGU
rnacentral:rRNA from 1 species